CAGCAGCCGCGGUAAUUCGUAGGUGGCAAGCGUUGUCCGGAAUUAUUGGGCGUAAAGGGCUCGCAGGCGGUUUCUUAAGUCUGAUGUGAAAGCCCCCGGCUCAACCGGGGAGGGUCAUUGGAAACUGGGAAACUUGAGUGCAGAAGAGGAGAGUGGUAUUCCACGUGUAGCGGUGAAAUGCGUAGAGAUGUGGAGGAACACCAGUGGCGAAGGCGACUCUCUGGUCUGUAACCGACGCUGAGGAGCGAAAGCGUGGGGAGCGAACAGGAUUAGAUACCCCCGUAGUCCCUGUCUCUUAUAC
rnacentral:rRNA from 1 species